GACGAACGCUGGCGGCGUGCCUAAUACAUGCAAGUAGAACGCUGAAGAGAGGAGCUUGCUCUUCUUGGAUGAGUUGCGAACGGGUGAGUAACGCGUAGGUAACCUGCCUUGUAGCGGGGGAUAACUAUUGGAAACGAUAGCUAAUACCGCAUAACAAUGGAUGACACAUGUCAUUUAUUUGAAAGGGGCAAUUGCUCCACUACAAGAUGGACCUGCGUUGUAUUAGCUAGUAGGUGAGGUAAUGGCUCACCUAGGCGACGAUACAUAGCCGACCUGAGAGGGUGAUCGGCCACACUGGGACUGAGACACGGCCCAGACUCCUACGGGAGGCAGCAGUAGGGAAUCUUCGGCAAUGGGGGCAACCCUGACCGAGCAACGCCGCGUGAGUGAAGAAGGUUUUCGGAUCGUAAAGGUCUGUUGUAAGUCAAGAACGGGUGUGAGAGUGGAAAGUUCACACUGUGACGGUAGCUUACCAGAAAGAGACGGCUAACUACGUG
rnacentral:rRNA from 1 species